UUUAAGAAACGGAAGACCUUGCUUCUCUUGCAAUAAUUGGGAGCUACGGUAGAGAGAGAACAAUGUUGAGAAUUCAGUCAGAGAAAUUGAUAUUGUCGAAUGCAAAACUCCAAACCAACAUCUUCCGUCUCUUCCUUUGUCAUUUUAAAUCCUUUGAAUAAAACCAUACGUGUAGCAAGAAGAAACAAGUCAGGGUUUUAGCAUUUACGGC
rnacentral:lncRNA from 1 species